GUCGAGCGGAUGACGGGAGCUUGCUCCUUGAUUCAGCGGCGGACGGGUGAGUAAUGCCUAGGAAUCUGCCUGGUAGUGGGGGACAACGUUUCGAAAGGAACGCUAAUACCGCAUACGUCCUACGGGAGAAAGCAGGGGACCUUCGGGCCUUGCGCUAUCAGAUGAGCCUAGGUCGGAUUAGCUAGUUGGUGGGGUAAUGGCUCACCAAGGCGACGAUCCGUAACUGGUCUGAGAGGAUGAUCAGUCACACUGGAACUGAGACACGGUCCAGACUCCUACGGGAGGCAGCAGUGGGGAAUAUUGGACAAUGGGCGAAAGCCUGAUCCAGCCAUGCCGCGUGUGUGAAGAAGGUCUUCGGAUUGUAAAGCACUUUAAGUUGGGAGGAAGGGCAGUAAGCUAAUACCUUGCUGUUUUGACGUUACCGACAGAAUAAGCACCGGCUAACUCUGUGCCAGCAGCCGCGGUAAUACAGAGGGUGCAAGCGUUAAUCGGAAUUACUGGGCGUAAAGCGCGCGUAGGUGGUUCGUUAAGUUGGAUGUGAAAGCCCCGGGCUCAACCUGGGAACUGCAUCCAAAACUGGCGAGCUAGAGUACGGUAGAGGGUGGUGGAAU
rnacentral:rRNA from 1 species